CAAUAGCGUAUAUUUAAGUUGUUGCAGUUAAAAAGCACGUAGUUGGAUUUCGGGUGGGACGCAGCGGUCUCGCAUUGCGUUUGUACUGCUGCAGCCCUCCUUCUUGCCGGGGGCGGCCUCUCGGACUUCACUGUCUGGGGGUCAGAAUCGGCGAUGUUACUUUGAGUAAAUUAGAGUGUUCAAAGCAAGCUUACGCUCUGAAUAUAAUAGCAUGGGAUAACACGACAGGACUCUGGCCUAUCGUGUUGGUCUAUAGGACCAGAGUAAUGAUUAAGAGGGACAGUCGGGGGCAUUCGUAUUCCGUUGUCAGAGGUGAAAUUCUUGGAUUUACGGAAGACGAACAUCUGCGAAAGCAUUUGCCAAGGAUGUUUUCAUUG
rnacentral:rRNA from 1 species